rnacentral:lncRNA from 1 species
GCCUCAGCCUCCUGAGUAGCCGGACUACAGGCGCCGGCCACCCCACCGCGCUAAUUUUUUUGUAUUUUUUAGUAGAGACGGGGUUUUGUGUCCGGAAUUGGUGGGUUCUUGGUCUCACUGACUUCAAGAAUGAAGCCGCGGACCCUCGCAGUGAGUGCUACAGCUUUUAAGGUGGCGCCUUUGGAGUUUGUUCCUUCUGAUGUUCGGAUGUGUUCGGAGUUUCUUCCUUCUGGUGGGUUCGUGAUCUCGCUGGCUCAGGAGUGAAGCUGCAGACCUUCACGGGGAGUGUUACAGCUCUUAAGGUGGCACAUCUGGAGUUUGUUCCUUCUGACGUUCAGAUGUGUUCGGAGUUUCUUCCUUCUGGUGGGUUCGUGAUCUCGCUGGCUCAGGAGUGAAGCUGCAGACCUUCAGGGGGAGUGUUACAGCUCUUAAGGUGGCGCGUCUGGAGUUUCUUCCUUCUGGUGGGUUCGUGAUCUCGCUGGCUCAGGAGUGAAGCUGCAGACCUUCACGGAUCUCGCUGUGUUGCCCGGGCUGGUCUCAAACUUCUGGACACAAACAAUCCUCCACAUUGGCCUCCCAAAAUGCUGGAAUUACAGGUGUGAGCCACUGGACCAGCAGGACUCUAAAUUUUGGGUCAGAUGAAAGUGAGAUCCAUACAUCCUUCUUCAGCAACUUGUGCCUCUGCUCUGCACCUCCCGCAAUUAACUACUGAAAAAAGAACACAGCUUCACAAAAGAGAUUGUAAAAUCAGGAAGUAUAUCUAAGUCACCUCCAGUAGCCGUAACUCUACCUUGUCCAGUAAAAGGAUAAUUCUGGCAGCUAUUGAAAACAGACUGAAGAGAAGAAAGAAGAUUUGGAGGAAUAUGUAUCCAAGAUUGAUGAUGGUGGCUCAGAUCAGUGCUGCUUGUUGCUGACGUUUCUGCCCAAACAUCAUGAAAUGUGGAGAAGAAAGAACACUCAGAUGUGCCCUGGAGACUUUCCUUUUAUUUUUAAACAGGUACAUCCUGAAAUUAUGUUAGAGUGCCUGCAAUCUGUCUGGAAUUCAGACUAUUACCCUUCUGGAUUCACUAAAACUAUACUCUUAAUCUGUACUGGGAAGUUCUAUACUGUUGCUUUAAUCCUUGGUGCUGUUUAUUUCAACCAAGAUACACCUUGAAGACAAUCUGCCUGCAACACUCAUAAUCCCUGAAUGGAUAGCACCCAAUAAAAGAGAGAACAUCAUUGCCAAUUUUUUCUUCUAUCCAAGUCCUCCUCUGUCUUUAUACCUUAUUUGACCUGAAUAUCUUAUCUUUCCGUGUUAAAUGCUCUUCUCUCUUGACCUCUAGAUCACUGUACUCUCUGGGGUCUGCCUCUGUUUCCCUAAUAUUUUCCGCUUUAAAUUGUCCACAUCUGCUCAUGCUUCAAUUGAUGCCCUCUUUUUAAAAAUUCUGUCCUUAGCCAUCAUUUCUCUCUAAGUUCUACUUAAUAAUAACCUUAGACAUUUUUGUGAUUUUAUCUUUUAUUUCUAUGCAUAUUUUUUUACCAAAUGCAUACUUCUAGAUGUGAUCCCCCUCAUAUUUUUCAGAACAUAUAUAGUUCAUUGACAUUAUUUUCAAAGAUACAUCAACAGCACCCCAAAUUAAACAUGUACAAAAAUAUUUGUCUUCUCCACAAAUAUGUUCUCAUUUGAAUAUUUACUGCCAUUGCUGUUGGAGGAUACCUCUAAAGAACCCUGGAAGAAAAUAUCAGUGUUAGUCACAAUUUCUUAUAUUUUUCAUCUCUGUAGUCAAGAAGUAAAUCACCAUAUCAUAGAGAAUUGUGAAGGAUCUGAGAUUUUAUCAUCUUACAAGCUAACAGGUUAGCUGGCUACAAUUUCACAGAUUCUGCAGAAGACACAGGACUCCAGGAUCAGACACAAAGAACUUUGCUACUCAUGGCACAGCAGGUAGCAUGAGCUUCAUGUUCACACCAGUUUCCUUUGACUCCUCAGUCACAUUGGAGUGGUGCAGAGAAAACUCAGGUGGAUGCUGGACACACAGUGAGUUUGUUUCACAGUCAAAGAAUUCUGAUCUUUGGAAACCCAAAUCUUUUAUAAGGUAUAUGCAACCAAAAGCACCAAGUCUUUGCCCUGACGGGAGACACCGUCUCUAUCUGUAAGGAGAUAGAAGAGGACAAAGGGAAUAAGUAUCUCUGUUCUAAAACAUGUAGGAAUACAAGAAACAUGUAAAGAAUAUUCUCCCUAUACUUAUCGUACCUGCUGUAUCUUCUGUUCCUCAUUUCUAAAUAGCUGUGUGAAACUGGACAAAUUACUUACCUUCAUUGUCCCACAAUUUUUUAUGUGUUAAUGGGAAUAAUAAUAGUACCUAAAACACAGAGCUAUUAUGAUUUUUCAAAGAGUUAAUAUGUCUAAAGUUUCUGUGGUAAAGGCUGGCACAUUAUUAAAUGCUAUUUAAGUCAUUAUUAAAUAACUGAAUAAGUACUUAUUACUAUUAUCAUCAUCAUAUUUACUGUUCCUUUUCCAUUUUGUUUGCCACUGGCACUUAGCUUCUCCCUUGUCUACUGCAGUAUAGUCUUACUGUGAUUCUGCACCCAGACUCUCACCUCCCCCAUUUACUCUUUGUGCAGUUUCCAAAGCUUAUUUCCUAAAAUAAGUAUCAGUGAUGUCCACUUGAUUCUUCCAGAAAUUUUAGAUGAUUCCAGGUUGCAGACAGAAACUGGCCUGCAGUAUGGAAUUCAGGAUCCUUCUCAACAUGACUUUUUGGUAGUCUCUUUCCCCUUUAGACUUCCGUAGUUUAGACUUUCUGUAUUUUAUGAAGAGAUUAGGCACAUCUAGGCAUCCACAAAUUUGAUCCUGCUGUUCCCUCAGUCAGAAACCCUUUUAUCUUUACCUGUGAAAAUUCUUGUAAUGUUACUGAUGUCAGUUCAUGCUAUUGCUUCCCCAAACUUCUUGCAAGCACACACUCUGCCUGGCUUAUCUUUCAAUACUCUCUUGGUUGUAAAAAUCAUUUUUAGCAACACAAGUAUCAUAUUCAUCAUCCAUCCACUUUCCUUAUAUUCUUCCUCUUUAACUUUCUACCCAUCUAGUUCCUUUGUCUUUGCUUGUCAACAUAUCCUGGUCAUUCUCUUCAUUCAUAUGAACUGACUUAGCAGGCUCACUUUCCUGCAGCUUUAGGUUCUGCAUAGAUGGCUUCCUUGUGGACAUCUAAUUUGGGCUGAUCCAGGAUGAACACUGCCCUAUACUGCUUCCCCUCUAAUACUGCUGAGUUCUGUCUUUGAGGUUGAGGCCUUACAAGUCCAGAAACAAAUCAUCAAUGCCUCAUAGUCCUACCCUUCACCGUGUAGGAGGCUUAUCGUCUUGAUAAUCAAACAAAAAGCCCAGCAUCAAAAAGUCACCUGUGGUCAAAGCUGCAAAUACUAAGGAAAUGUUUUGGUGAGCAUGAAUAAAAAAAGGCAUAUUACUUCCUCCAUUUAGCCUGUGCCAAUUAAGACUGUGUAGGAGGAGAUUUAUUGCAAUUAAAUAAUUUAAAAUAUUAUGUAUAAUUUCAGUUAAUUGAGCAAAAAUGUAACAGCAUUCAAGAGAAAAGAGCAAAGGAAAAACCAAUGUAAAAUUUAAAAGUAUAUACAGUCUAUAUAUUGAUCUGGGUUUAUAAAGGGAUUUAAAUUGCAGUUCUAAAUUUAUUUAGUUUUAUAUUUCAAUUGCACAUCUGUUUCUCGUUUUCAUGGAACAUGUUUCAAUCUCAGAGUGAAAGAUUUCCUGAAAAUCAUAAGAUUUAUGUUUACUGUGUUCCUUAUAAAACCAAACUCAUGACAAGUGAUGGUCAAUAAGUGGUCUUUGUUGCAUUAAAUAAAAAGAAUCUGUGAACUUUGAAUGCU